rnacentral:sRNA from 1 species
ACUUGUUCAUGUCUUUUGCCCAUUUUUCAGAUUUACCGGAACAUUCCAGGAUUUUUACGUACACUUAUGGAUGCCCUGAGAAAAGACAAAAUAAUCUUUCCUAAUGAUGAAAAUGUUAAAUUCCUUUCUUCUCCUCUUCUCAUCUUACAUGGAGAGGAUGACAGGACAGUGCCUUUGGAGUAUGGGAAAAAGGUCUAUGAAAUUGCAUGCAAUGCAUACAGGAACAAAGAGAGGGUCAAGAUGGUUAUCUUUCCUCCUGGCUUCCAACAUAACCUGCUUUGUAAAAGCCCCACACUGUUAAUAACCGUGAGAGAUUUCCUGAGCAAGCAAUGGUCAUGAGUCUGGGAGGAGUGGAAAUCUUCAAUGAAGACUUGGUCCAAACACCACCUGUGAUGUGUAUUGUUUUAAUGUAAAAUUGUACUGGGCUGGUCGGAUGAGCUGAAGCCAUUGACUUCUCUACAAAUCACUUGCCAUUUUAACAACAGAAAGUACGAAUGUUAGGCAGUAUGGAAUGUUCUUGUUUGGCUUAUCAUAAUCUACUUUGUAAAACAUACUGAAACCUCACUGUGGAGAACCAGAAUUUGGUAAAAUCUAGAUCCUAUCUAAAAAUAUGUAGUUAUCAAACAUUCUAUGGAUAUUUGUGAAUAAGGUAGUUGCUAUGGUCUGAAUAUCUGGGCCUGCCCCCCAAAUUAUGUUGAAACCUAAUCACCAGUGUGAUGGUAAUAGGAGGUGGGGUUGAGCUCUCAUGAAUGAGAUUAGUGCCCUGAUAAAUUAUGGCCAAAAGAGCUCUUCACUCCUCCUAC